rnacentral:hammerhead_ribozyme from 1 species
GCACUGCUGAGGAGUCCCAUAAUAUGACGAAACGACUGUCCAGUGU